CAACAACCGACUUGCACAGUGUAGGCCAAAGUAAAUAGCUAAUGGAGAAGAAUGAAAUAAACAAAAAUACCUCUAUAUAUUACACUAUCUAUCUAUCUAUCUAUCUAUCUAUCUAUCUAUCUAUCUAUCUAUCCUCUACCCCCAGAAUAACCCUUGUUCCAUACACUUGGCACAGAUUUGACCCAUACCCAUCCAUUUGCCUUGUGCUAAGUUCUGUCUGUCUAUCAGUUCCAUCUGUCCAUCCUUUGCUGCCUGCAGUGUUCUGCCAGUGGGAUUUGAUUUGUGUUUUUAAGUGAAG